rnacentral:rRNA from 1 species
UACGUAGGGGGCAAGCGUUGUCCGGAAUCAUUGGGCGUAAAGAGCGCGUAGGCGGCCCUGUAAGUCCGCUGUGAAAGUCAAGGGCUCAACCCUUGAAUGCCGGUGGAUACUGCAGGGCUAGAGUCCGGAAGAGGCGAGUGGAAUUCCGUGGUGUAGCGGUGAAAUGGCGCAGAUAGUCAGGAGGAACACCGAUGGCGAAGGGCAGCUCGCUGGGACGGUACUGACGCUGAGGC